rnacentral:rRNA from 1 species
GGAUCCAGACUUUGAUUAUGGCUCAGGACGAACGCUGGCGGCGCGCCUAACACAUGCAAGUCGAACGGAGUUAUUUUCUUCACUCCGAGCUUUUUGCCAGUUAGCCGGAGCGGCAAUCGGUUUUGCCCAGCAUAAAAAGCAAAACCGAUUUAGGCUCAUAAAGUAAGACUAACACAGAGGGCAGAGAGUUGGGAGUGAAGAAAAUAACUUAGUGGCGAACGGGUGAGUAACGCGUGAGUAACCUGCCCUGGAGUGGGGGACAACAGUUGGAAACGACUGCUAAUACCGCAUAAGCCCACGGCCCGGCAUCGGGCUGCGGGAAAAGGAUUUAUUCGCUUCAGGAUGGACUCGCGUCCAAUUAGCUAGUUGGUGAGGUAACGGCCCACCAAGGCGACGAUUGGUAGCCGGACUGAGAGGUUGAACGGCCACAUUGGGACUGAGACACGGCCCAGACUCCUACGGGAGGCAGCAGUGGGGGAUAUUGCACAAUGGGGGAAACCCUGAUGCAGCGACGGCGCGUGGAGGAAGAAGGUUUUCGGAUUGUAAACUCCUGUCGUUAGGGACGAUAAUGACGGUACCUAACAAGAAAGCACCGGCUAACUACGUGCCAGCAGCCGCGGUAAAACGUAGGGUGCAAGCGUUGUCCGGAAUUACUGGGUGUAAAGGGAGCGCAGGCGGACCGGCAAGUUGGAAGUGAAAACUAUGGGCUCAACCCAUAAAUUGCUUUCAAAACUGCUGGCCUUGAGUAGUGCAGAGGUAGGUGGAAUUCCCGGUGUAGCGGUGGAAUGCGUAGAUAUCGGGAGGAACACCAGUGGCGAAGGCGACCUACUGGGCACCAACUGACGCUGAGGCUCGAAAGCAUGGGUAGCAAACAGGAUUAGAUACCCUGGUAGUCCAUGCCGUAAACGAUGAUUACUAGGUGUUGGAGGAUUGACCCCUUCAGUGCCGCAGUUAACACAAUAAGUAAUCCACCUGGGGAGUACGACCGCAAGGUUGCAACUCAAAUGAAUUGACGG